AAGAUGAAAUGUUUGUCUUUCUUGACUCAUUACAUGAAGAAGGUUCUGAAUAUCAAGAUGAAGUUAAGAAUAGAUUGACAUCCAAUUUUGCACUUGCUUGGAAUUCCAUCAUGGAAGAAUAUCAAAUCAAUUUUGAUGCUUUCAAAAUUGUAUAUCCACCAGUACCUCGCCAAAAUAAUCUUUUUGAUUGCGGAGUUUUUACUCUAAAAUACAUGGAACUAUGGGGUCCAAGAGUUCAGCUGACAAACCAUUUC